rnacentral:rRNA from 1 species
GAUGAACGCUAGCGGCAGGCUUAACACAUGCAAGUCGAGGGGUAGGGUAGCAAUAUCUGAGACCGGCGCACGGGUGCGUAACGCGUAUGCAAUCUACCUUUCACAAAGGAAUAGCCCAGAGAAAUUUGGAUUAAUGCCUUAUAGUAUAACGAGUUCGCAUGGAUUUGUUAUUAAAGAUUUAUCGGUGAAAGAUGAGCAUGCGUCCCAUUAGCUAGAUGGUAAGGUAACGGCUUACCAUGGCUACGAUGGGUAGGGGUCCUGAGAGGGAGAUCCCCCACACUGGUACUGAGACACGGACCAGACUCCUACGGGAGGCAGCAGUGAGGAAUAUUGGUCAAUGGGCGCAAGCCUGAACCAGCCAUGCCGCGUGCAGGAUGACGGUCCUAUGGAUUGUAAACUGCUUUUAUACAGGAAGAAACACUCGGACGUGUCCGAGCUUGACGGUACUGUAGGAAUAAGGAUCGGCUAACUCCGUGCCAGCAGCCGCGGUAAUACGGAGGAUCCAAGCGUUAUCCGGAAUCAUUGGGUUUAAAGGGUCCGUAGGCGGCUUAAUAAGUCAGUGGUGAAAUCCCUACGCUUAACGUAGGAACGGCCAUUGAUACUGUUAGGCUUGAAUUAUUAGGAAGUAACUAGAAUAUGUAGUGUAGCGGUGAAAUGCUUAGAGAUUACAUGGAAUACCAAUUGCGAAGGCAGGUUACUACUAAUGGAUUGACGCUGAUGGACGAAAGCGUGGGUAGCGAACAGGAUUAGAUACCCUGGUAGUCCACGCCGUAAACGAUGGAUACUAGCUGUUGGGAGCAAUCUCAGUGGCUAAGCGAAAGUGAUAAGUAUCCCACCUGGGGAGUACGUUCGCAAGAAUGAAACUCAAAGGAAUUGACGGGGGCCCGCACAAGCGGUGGAGCAUG